CGAGUCGGUCAGGCAGCCGCGCGCCUUCAUUGGCGUGAGGAAAGUCCGGGCUCCACAGGACAGGGCGCCAGGUAACGCCUGGGGGGCGCGAGCCCACGGAGAGUGCAGCAGAGAGCAGACCGCCACCGCGCAUCGCCAGUAGGCGUAGCCGGCGGCAAGGGUGAAAGGGUGCGGUAAGAGCGCACCGCAGGGACUGGCAACAGCCCUGGCUAGGCAAACCCCGCCCGGAGCAAGGCCAAAUGGGGGUCCGACGGCGUGGUCCGCGCCGGACCCGGGUAGGCCGCUGGAGGCGAUCGGUGACGGUCGUCCGAGAUGAAUGGCUGUCCACGACAGAACCCGGCUUAUCGACCGACUCGGCCC
rnacentral:RNase_P_RNA from 1 species